rnacentral:tRNA from 1 species
UCCCUGGUGGUCCAGUGGCUAAGACUCUGCAUUCCGAAUACAGGGGGCCCAGAUUCGACCCCUGGUCAGGGAA